AACCUUCUACCUUGUUUGAGGUGGGGUGACUUAUUCACUGCAGUGUACGUGGGCUGGCUAGCUGGCCUUUCAGCCUCCAUGUAUUCUCCUGCCUCUAACUCACCACUUGCCUUAGGAGUACAGGGACUGUAGACAUGCUACCGAGUACAGCUUUGAGUGGGCGCUGGCAACCCAAACUCAGGUCUCCCACACUCGCCCAGGAGGCAUUUAACUCUCUAGGUCAUUCCCCAAGCUUCACAAAGGUUCUGCUCACCUGAGUAAACAUCUCCUUCUUCCCUGGGCAUCUUCCCUCUUGCCCUUCUGAUUAUAAAGGGCUCUGUCCUCGCCUCUGGCUGAAGGUGAGAAUGUGGGGGAGGGGAGGGAAAGCAAAGCAUACCCCAACGAUUGAGCUAAGAAUGACCCAGGGCUCCCUCCUCCAUUGGAAAUGUGGGACUCAGUCUCCGGCCCAUUCUGUGAUGUGAUUUGGAUGUGAAAUGUCCCCUCCAGGCUCAUGUGUUUAAACAACUUGGUCCCCAGCUGGUGAUGCUGUUUGGGAAGACUGUAGAACCUUCAGGAGGCGGAGCCUCACUGGGGGCGCUGACCUUCAGUUUUUACGGCCCAGAAGCUCCACUUCCCGUCCUCUGCUUUCUGACUACAGACUCAGUAUAACCAGAUGCCUCGCAUUCCUUCUGCAGCAUCUUCUGCACUAUGAUGGACUGUCCACCCUCAAACUACAAGACUGAAUCGCCCCUUAAGCUCUUCUCCUCCUUCCCCUUCUCCUCUUCCUCCUCCAUUUCUAAUGUGUACUUGAGACAGAACCUCCUGUAACCAGGCUAUUCUCAAACUUGCUAUGUACCAGAGAAAAACCAUGAACUUUUUUUUUUCCUGAGAUAAGGUUUCUUUGUGUAGCCUUGGCUAUCCUGGACUCGCUUUUAAGACCAGGCUGGCCUCGAACUCACAGAGAUCCACUUGCACUUGCCUCCCAAAAAUCUGGGAUUAAAGGGGUGCACUACCGUGCCCCAGCUGCUCAUGAACUUCUAAUCCCCAUAAUUGCUGAGAUUACAGGCACAUGCCACCAUGUUCAUUUUAUGCAGUGCUAAGAACUGAACCCUGAAUUCUACAGCGACAUACCCCAAGCCCUUAAAUUAUUUCUUCUCAUCUAGUUGGUCAGUAGCAAGAAAAGUAACUAAUAAAGAAAAGUAACUAAUGACUGUUCCUAGCCUUCUGUGGAUGCCUCCCCAAAUGGACAUAGCCAUCCUGGGUAAACAUGGUGGCACAGUGAGACUUGUGCGGGAGGGUCUCUUCACUGUGGCUUCGGCUGUAUUCUUUUGGCUUGCCUGGCAGGGGGAGAAGCUGGCUGCCACGUUGUCCAGCCACUCGAGUGGCCCUCUGAAAAGACCACGUGGUGAAGGGUUGGGGUGGCAUAUUUCCAUUACAGUUCCUAACAGUAGCAAAAUCACAGUUAUGAAGUAGCAGUAAAACAAUGUUAUGGUUGGGGGGGGGGUCACCACAACAUGGGGAACUGCAUUAAAGGGUUCUGCUAUCAGUCCCUGAGCAGGUAGGUAUCAACGACUGUAACGACAUAAGAGACCUAGGUAGGACCCUGAAGCUGACGAGGUCCUGAACUCUAGAGCUGCUAGAACUAUGGGAAACGAUGGUUGUUGUUAUGUUAAAAACACUAAGCUUCAGAGAAGUUUAGAAUAUAAUAGACAACCCACUUGAGGACUUAGUUGGUGCCAUGCUUGCCUAGCUUGCAGGAGGCCCUGAGUUCUGUCCUCAGCACCAUGUAGACCUGACUGUGAUGGUGCCUGCCUGUAAUCUCCGCACUUGGGAUGUGGAGACGAGAGGAUCAGGAGUGCAGCAAGGUCAUUUGGCUACAGAGAUCCAACCUGGGAGAUAUUAGCCUGAGAACCUGCCCCAAAACAAAACUAAACAAAGCAACAAAAAACCCAACAGCUGAGGCCAGAGAGAUGGCUCAGUGGUAAAGAGUACAAACUACACUUGCAGAGGACCUGAGUUCAGUUCCAGGCAUGCAGUCAGGUAUGAAGUCCCAGGACACAGGUGCAGAGACUGCCAUCAUUCCCAUUUUAUAUACAGUAACCCUCCCUCAUUCACGAUGCUCCAAGGAUGCCUGAAACUGUAGCCAGUUCUGAAUUUCACAUACAUUAUGUUUAUUUCCCAAUAUGAGCACUGCAACAGUAAGGUUUGAUGCAUACAUUAGGCACGGUAAGAGAUUGACAAUAUCUAAUAGUAAUAUCAGAACAAUUGUAAUCAUACACUCUAGUCAAUGAAGACACUAAUGAAUUUUUUAGUCCUGGAUAUUUCCAGUUAGUGAUAUCAGACAGUGCUGACCUCAGGGAGCUAAAUAAAGGUAUGAGAACAGGCUAUUUUACAGCCUCCCCCAAACAGCACCACUAAGUGGACGCCACACCAAAUGUUCUAAGGCCAGAGCCCAUGAGAGACACUUCCCAUAGGAAUCACUAUAGAGUGUAAUACAGUAUUCUGAUCGUUUGAGGUCUGUUAAAGAGAAUGAGGGCAAAGUGACGGCCUAGCUGGACGCUGCUAGACUUGGAUUUUUCAAGCUGGAACCUGGAGCUCCCCACUCCCAGCUGCUUUGGGGCUGCCCUUCUGCUGGCUUGGAGUCUCGCAUCUGGAAGCAGGAUGUCAGACUGGGUGGAAAGUGCUGCCUUUAUAUCCUGUUCCAAGUGCUUCCUGGAAAGACAGAAGAAAGAAGAAACAGAGACUGUUGGGUCCCAGCUUGCUUCUCCUCACAGAGCGGUUGCAUUGAUGGACCCAGGCUGGAGAGUUUUAGGGAAGGUCAUCACCAGCAGAUGCAGCUUCAGGAAGCUCAGAGCCGGAGAGGAAAACGAGGCAGAGCACUUUCCAAAUCUGCUAAACACAGAUCUCCUUCUCCCUAUGCCGGCCGAGAGACUGUCCUAUCCCAGGCACAGAGCCAAACUCUGAGAAGGCGUACCAAAAGGGAAUCAAAUUCCUGACGUCCUAAGAAGCCGUGGACCUAGGAGGAGACAGCACAGAGACAAGCCGUCCUGACUAUGGGCAUCGCAGCAGAGUCUGCGAGCAGACUUUCUUCUUUCUAAGGCGGAAUGGUACUUCCGCUGUAUGAACGCGCAACACGUUUUGUUUAUUCUGUCAACCGUGAUGGACCUUGCUGUUGCUUUCAUCUUUGGCCUAGUAUGAAAUGAAAUGCUGCUGAGAACCUGGGUGCACAAACCUUUUCCUUUUUACGAGUGAAAAAAUACACAAUUAUGGGAAGAAGACUCCAAAAGAGGCAAGAUAGAAAACUCAGCUAGCAGUGAGAAGGGUCCUGGAAGAGGAUUACGCACAGGAAGCAACACUUUUUUUUUUCUUUUUCUUUUUCUUUUCUGGAACUAAGAGGAUGAGAAGCCAGCUAGGUUAAAUGGCUAUUGUCAUCGUUUAGACAUGCCAUUGCUGCUGAUGCUCUGCAACUAGGUGGUUCUUGUUCUCCCUGCACUUGGACCUUGGACCGUGCUUAGAUCACAUCCUCAUUUUACUGAUGAAGAGCCCAAGACUUGGAGCAGAAGCUGGAAUCACCUCCAGAAGCCACAGGUGCCACCCAUCACCCCGGAAGGAUGUGAGAACAGGAAGCUAAAGUCAGGACAGAUUUGGGCAUUCAUUUCUAAGGGAGCCCUUGUAGCUGCAGUUUGUCUAUCAAGAUAUCUUUUCUUCAGGUCAUGGCUCAGAUACAAGGAGAUCCAUAGCAGGCAUAUUUGGAAAUCAGGCUAUCUUAAAUAUCUCAUUCUCUAUCCCAUCACUUUCCUUGUCUAAUUUUGAGGCAGGGUGCAUUGGAAUUUUAAUUCAGAACAUGGCUGCUCUGGCAAGAGAUCAUAUCUCAAGACCUUCUAGGUCUGUGUGAUCCGGCUGGAAUACAAACACACCUUUAAUCCAGGAGACAGAGGCAAGCAGAUCUGAGUUCAAGGCCAGCCUGGUAUAGAGCAAGUUCCAGAUAAAGAAAAGCUUAGGUCCAGGCAUGGUGGUAUAUGCCUUUAAUCCCAAACAAUGAUAGUUUGUAGAAGGAAACACCAUGGUUGAAAGUGAGUGGCAGAAAAAGUGACAAAUAAGAGAAGGUUCAACAGAAUAGGAUACACCCAAUUCUCAUAAGAAGAGAGAAAAGGGAAGCUACCUAAGGGGCAAUACAGAGAGGAGGCAGAUUUACUGGGACAGUAAUAGAGAGACAGGUGACAAAGAAAGAACUCAAGUGAGCAGAAUGAGCCAGAGAAUGAGAAGGAGCCAGGAAACUAAAGGAGAUUGUCUGAGUUCAUUUGAGGCCAAGCAGAGCAAUUCAGGGCAGAGAGAAAAGCCGGAUUGACUAAGUUAGUUGGAAGAGGAUUUUGAGCCAGAACAGCUGAAUUGAACCAGCUAGCCCAGAGUUUAGAAAGACAAGAAAGGGUGAGUUUAUAAACAGUAAGUCUCAGAGACUGAAAACAUUCUAGGCCUGGGUUAGAAUGUACGGAGGCUAGAAGCUUCCAGUACUUGGCCUAGGUUAGCAGACAGAGUCAAUAUAACUCCAAGACGACAAUUACCUCAGAAGAAUAAAAAUUCCUUUUACAACAGGGUCUCACUGUUUGGCCUUAAAAGGCAUUGUGCCACUCAGUUGCACUUUUUUUUUUGUUUUUUUUUUUUUUUGAUAACCAUCAUGUGGGCACAGCUUCUACAGAACAAAUGCUUAUAAGAGUGACCCCUAUCAAGAUGGCCAAAGUCUGUGGCUCUUUGUGGGUGAUAUUUAUUUAUGUGUGUGUGCAUAGAUGUGCACACAGCAUGCAUGCGGUCAUAGGACAACUUGUAAGAAUUUGUUCUCUUCUGUUACAUGGGUUCCUGGCAUUGAACUCAGAAUACCAGGCUUCAUGGCAAGUGUCUUUAUCUACUGAGUUGUCCUGCUGCCCCAGAUGUAGCUUCUCAUCAGCGGGUAUUGUUCUCCCAGUGAGAUGCAGUUCACCAAUUAGAAGUCACUUGUGCCAUGAGCAGUAUGCCUGGCAACAAUACCGACACACAUCUAUAACCCUAUGCCAUGUACAUGUGCAUAUAUAGGCUGCACUAAGUGGACUCAGUGAGUUGAAGAGGAGGAGAAAGAGAGGCACAAGGAGGACAAGGAGGAGGAGAUUAAGUGAAGAGGAGGGUAUGUCUGGGAGGCAGAGGCCGAGAGGAAUGGAGGCCUCCUGCCAACAUCAGUCACAUGAUAGCACUGUCCCGGAAGUGGAUUCUCCAGCUAGACCAAACAUCUUCAUCUUUCUAACUUUACUUUCUUAUGGCUGCUCUAGCUUGUGGCUGGCUUUAUUCUGAUUCUCUCAUAUUUUCUCUCUCAAACAGGGCCCUAGGGAGCUUGGAGCUCACUAUGUAGACCAGGUUGGCCCUGAACUUAUAGAGAUCCACCUCUAUAAGUUUCUACCUCUUGAGUGCUGGGAUGAAAAGUUUGCACAUUUUCCUUUUUUCUCGUGUCCUUGGAGACAGUGGGCUUUAUUGUAGAAUUUUCUUCAGAACAAUUCCGUGUUGAUUCAUUUACAAACUCAACGUUUCCAUCUGGUCAAGCUCACAUUUUCCCGCAAGUGAUGCUUUUCAUUCUUUCCAAAAAUAAUUUUAUAUUUCUCUAUUAUACUGAAUAUUUACUCUCUGUGAUGUACACAGAAGGCAGGGCAAGGAGGAAGGAGGGCAAAGACACUUUGUUCAUCUCCUUUUUUUUUUCUGGAGAUUUAUACGUAUGAGUGUGGGGGGCCAUGAACACAUGUGUACCAUUUGCAUGAGAGGCCCUCUUCAGAGCAUCGGAUUCAUGGAAGCUGGAGUCACAGAUGUUUGUGAAGUACCAUGUGCAAGAGCAGCCAGUGCUCUUAACGGCUGAGCCAUCUCUCCAGCCCCUCAUUUCCUUGUCUAAAUAUUUUAUGGCUUGUGGUACUUUCUCUUGGAUGUUUAUAAAACGGGAGCUAUCUUUACUGAAACCCAGUCAUAUGAUUUCCAAAAAGUAGAUGUGCAAUGCCUUUGGGGAUGGGAGAAUGCCUUCUGCACAGGGCAUUGCCCAGGUGACUGAUUUGUAUAU